GAUGAACGCUGGCGGCGCGCCUAACACAUGCAAGUCGAACGAUUAAAGCACCUUCGGGUGUGUAUAAAGUGGCGAACGGCUGAGUAACACGUGGGCAACCUGCCCCUCUCAUUGGGAUAGCCACGGGAAACCGUGGAUAAUACCGAAUACUUCGGGACUUCCGCAUGGAAGACUCGAGAAAGCUCCGGCGGAGAGGGAUGGGCCCGCGGCCUGUUAGCUUGUUGGUGGGGUAAUGGCCUACCAAGGCAAUGAUGGGUAGCUGGGUUGAGAGACCGACCAGCCAGAUUGGGACUGAGACACGGCCCAGACUCCUACGGGAGGCAGCAGUGGGGAAGCGUGCACAAUGGGCGAAAGCCUGAUGCAGCGACGCCGCGUGCGGGAUGAAGGCCUUCGGGUUGUAAACCGCUUUCAGCAGGGACGAGGCGAAAGUGACGGUACCUGCAGAAGAAGCCCCGGCUAACUACGUG
rnacentral:rRNA from 1 species